CCUACGGGGGGCUGCAGUGGGGAAUAUUGGACAAUGGGCGAAAGCCUGAUCCAGCCAUGCCGCGUGUGUGAAGAAGGCCUUCGGGUUGUAAAGCACUUUCAGUGGGGAAGAAAGCCUUGGGGCUAAUACCCUCGAGGAAGGACAUCACCCACAGAAGAAGCACCGGCUAACUCCGUGCCAGCAGCCGCGGUAAUACGGAGGGUGCGAGCGUUAAUCGGAAUUACUGGGCGUAAAGCGCGCGUAGGCGGUCUGAUAAGCCGGUUGUGAAAGCCCCGGGCUCAACCUGGGAACGGCAUCCGGAACUGUCAGGCUAGAGUGCAGGAGAGGAAGGUAGAAUUCCCGGUGUAGCGGUGAAAUGCGUAGAGAUCGGGAGGAAUACCAGUGGCGAAGGCGGCCUUCUGGACUGACACUGACGCUGAGGUGCGAAAGCGUGGGUAGCAAACAGGAUUAGAUACCCCUGCAGUC
rnacentral:rRNA from 1 species